AGUGAACGCUGGCGGUAGGCCUAGCACAUGCAAGUCGAACGGCAGCACAGUAAGAGCUUGCUCUUACGGGUGGCGAGUGGCGGACGGGCGAGGAAUACAUCGGAAUCUACUUUUUCGUGGGGGAUAACGUAGGGAAACUUACGCUAAUACCGCAUACGACCUACGGGUGAAAGCAGGGGAUCUUCGGACCUUGCGCGAUUGAAUGAGCCGAUGUCGGAUUAGCUAGUUGGCGGGGUAAAGGCCCACCAAGGCGACGAUCCGUAGCUGGUCUGAGAGGAUGAUCAGCCACACUGGAACUGAGACACGGUCCAGACUCCUACGGGAGGCAGCAGUGGGGAAUAUUGGACAAUGGGCGCAAGCCUGAUCCAGCCAUACCGCGUGGGUGAAGAAGGCCUUCGGGUUGUAAAGCCCUUUUGUUGGGAAAGAAAAGCAGCAGGUUAAUACCCCGCUGUUCUGACGGUACCCAAAGAAUAAGCACCGGCUAACUUCGUG
rnacentral:rRNA from 1 species